AAAGUUGUAACAAGGUUUCCAUAGGUGAACCUGCGGAAGGAUCAUUAUAAAUAGUGCUAGUAAGGCUCUUAGGCCAAGCUGGCGCCCCAACCCGUUGGGACACCCUGUUUAUAAGUACUAACCGUUUCCUUGGUGGGCCUGCCCACUAGUAAGGACCUCUUUAAAACCUUGCAAUAAGCAGUCAGUUAGUAAUAACAUAAUUUGUCACAACUUUCAACAAUAGAUCUCUUAGCUCUA
rnacentral:misc_RNA from 1 species